rnacentral:sRNA from 1 species
AUGAGAGACGCAGCGGGGCGGCCCCUCAGCCGCGGUUUAGCCAAUGGAGAAGGCGAGAUGGGCGGGCUGGGAGUGCCCGGCGGCGGGUCCUCAGCUCCUAGCCGAGGUGCAGUGAGCUGGUGGGGGGACCGCGAGGCGAGCGCGGGAGCCUGGGCGGCGAGCCGGGUGUUAGUUGCCUGAAAAUGCACUCGGAUGCCGCCGCUGUCAAUUUUCAGCUGAACUCUCAUCUCUCAACACUGGCAAAUAUUCAUAAGAUCUACCACACCCUUAAUAAGCUGAACCUAACAGAAGACAUUGGCCAAGACGAUCACCAAACAGGAAGUCUGCGGUCUUGCAGUUCUUCAGACUGCUUUAAUAAAGUGAUGCCACCAAGGAAAAAGAGAAGACCUGCCUCUGGAGAUGAUUUAUCUGCCAAGAAAAGUAGACAUGAUAGCAUGUAUAGAAAAUAUGAUUCAACUAGAAUAAAGACUGAAGAAGAAGCCUUUUCAAGUAAAAGGUGCUUGGAAUGGUUCUAUGAAUAUGCAGGUAGGUAAUCAUUUGUAUCAUCUAAGACUGAUCGUUAUGACAAUAAGGAUUACCUUAGAGAUGAUUAAAGAAUUUAAAAAUGUGUACAUUUCAAAUUUGGGUGUGUGUGUGUGUGU